rnacentral:lncRNA from 1 species
UGGCUACAAGCGGCGGCCGAAAUCUUCGGAUCUGAAAUCUCCGGUGAUCUGGUGGACGGAAUCUGAGGAGGAGGAGGGGAAAUCGUCUGCGGCGGGGUGCAUAUCGGUAUGUUUUCGGGAACUUUGAGCUCCGUUUCUUCCUUGUCUCUCUUCUGAGCCAUAGAUUCGGCCGGGAUGAAAGGUGUUCUAGGUUAUCGGUGGGGAAAGAGAAGAAGAAGAAAGAAGAAGGGCUUGGUGUGCAAAAAAAAAAAGCAGAAAUGAAAUGAGUGGAAAAUGAGGAAAUGGGAAAUGUGUAAUAGAAUAUAGAAGUGGGAUGGUGAUGCUGUGGUGUGGCGACG